CCUACGGGCCGCAGCAGUGGGGAAUAUUGCACAAUGGGCGCAAGCCUGGUGCAGCCAUGCCGCGUGUAUGAAGAAGGCCUUCGGGUUGUAAAGUACUUUCAGCGGGGAGGAAGGUGUUGUGGUUAAUAACCACAACAAUUGACGUUACCCGCAGAAGAAGCACCGGCUAACUCCGUGCCAGCAGCCGCGGUAAUACGGAGGGUGCAAGCGUUAAUCGGAAUUACUGGGCGUAAAGCGCACGCAGGCGGUCUGUCAAGUCGGAUGUGAAGUCCCCGGGCUCAACCUGGGAACUGCAUUCGAAACUGGCAGGCCAGAGUCUUGUAGAGGGGGGUAGAAUUCCAGGUGUAGCGGUGAAAUGCGUAGAGGUCUGGAGGAAUACCGGUGGCGAAGGCGGCCCCCUGGACAAAGACUGACGCUCAGGUGCGAAAGCGUGGGGAGCAAACAGGAUUAGAUACCCGGGUAGUC
rnacentral:rRNA from 1 species